ensembl:lncRNA
ACCCUGGUAGUGUGAAUAUCCUGCACAUGCCAAGGCUCGUUGUCACAGAGAUAAAUGCUUACAUCUGGCCCAAGAGUUAGCCGCUGAAGGAGAAUCCUGGGGAAGAUGGAAUGCCACGUUACAGCAAGGAGGUGGCAGAAAACCUGACUCAGACUGGCUUAAAAGGAAGUUCAUUGUCUCCUAUAACGGAGAGAUCCAAAUGUAGCUUCCGCACUUCAAGCACAGCCUGAGUCAGCCGAACAAUUCACAAGUGCUUGGUUGCUCGCCUCUGACUGCCUCCCGUGUGACUGCAGUGUCACGGUCCACACAGAUGUGCUCUGGAUCGACCAUCCUCUCACGUUCAAGACCAAAAAGCCAGAGGAGGCCAGCUUCCUCGGGAGCUCAGUUGCUAACUUGAGUCUUGUGGUCAUUCCUGAGCCAGUCGCCAUGGCUGAGGAUGUGAUGUACUAACUGGCUGAGGCCUACGAAGUCUAACUUACUCAAACUCCUGUCUAUCGAGUUGGUGAUGCCAUCCAACCAUCUCAUCCUCUGUCAUCUCCUUCUCCUCCCACCUUCAAUCUUUCCCAGCAUCAGGGUCUUUUCCAAUGAGUCAGUUUUUCCCAUCAGGUGGCCAAAGUAUUAGAGUUUCAGCGUCAGCAUCAGUCCUUCCAAUGAAUAUUCAGGACUGAUCUCCUUUAGGAUGGACUGGUUGGAUGUCCUUGC